GAUGAACGCUGGCGGCGUGCCUAGUACAUGCAAGUCGAGCGAACAGACGAGGAGCUUGCUCCUCUGACGUUCGCGGCGGACGGGUGAGUAACCCGUGGAUAACCUACCUAUAAGACUGGGAUAACUUCGGGAAACCGGAGCUAAUACCGGAUAAUAUAUUGAACCGCAUGGUUCAAUAGUGAAAGCCGGUUUUGCUGUCACUUAUCGAUGGAUCCGCGCCGCAUUAGCUAGUUGGUAAGGUAACGGCUUACCAAGGCAACGAUGCGUAGCCGACCUGAGAGGGUGAUCGGCCACACUGGAACUGAGACACGGUCCAGACUCCUACGGGAGGCAGCAGUAGGGAAUCUUCCGCAAUGGGCGAAAGCCUGACGGAGCAACGCCGCGUGAGUGAUGAAGGUCUUCGGAUCGUAAAACUCUGUUAUUAGGGAAGAACAAAUGUGUAAGUAACUAUGCACGUCUUGACGGUACCUAAUCAGAAAGCCACGGCUAACUACGUG
rnacentral:rRNA from 1 species